rnacentral:rRNA from 1 species
GAUGAACGCUGGCGGCGUGCCUAAUACAUGCAAGUCGAGCGAACGGACGAGAAUCUUGCUUCUCUGAUGUUAGCGGCGGACGGGUGAGUAACACGUGGAUAACCUACCUAUAAGACUUAGAUAACGUCGGGAAACCGGAGCUAAUACCGGAUGAUAUUUUGAACCGCAUGGUUCAAGAGUGAAAGACGGUCUUGCUGUCACUUAUAGAUGUAUCCGCGCUGCAUUAGCUAGUUGGUAAGGUAACGGCUUACCAAGGCAACGAUGCAUAGCCGACCUGUGAGGGUGAUCGGCCACACUGGAACUGAGACACGGUACAGACUCCUACGGGAGGCAGAAGUAGGGAAUCGUCCGCACUGGGCGAAAGCCUGAAGGAGCAACGCCGCGUGAGUGAUGAAGGUCUUCGGAUCGUAAAACUCUGUUAUUAGGGAAGAACAUAUGUGUAAGUAACUGUGCACAUCUUGACGGUACCUAAUCAGAAAGCAACGGCUAACUACGUG